GGAGGGUAGAGCUCAGUGGUAGAGAGCAUGCCUAUCAUGCAUGAGGUCCUGGGUUCAAUCCCCAGUACCUCCU